rnacentral:rRNA from 1 species
AGCCGCGGUAAUACGGAGGGUGCAAGCGUUGUCCGGAUUUAUUGGGUUUAAAGGGUGCGUAGGCGGCCUAUUAAGUCAGUGGUGAAAUCCUAUAGCUUAACUAUAGCAUUGCCAUUGAUACUAUUUGUCUUGAAUCCUGUUGAGGUGGGCGGAAUAUAUCAUGUAGCGGUGAAAUGCUUAGAUAUGAUAUAGAACACCGAUUGCGAAGGCAGCUCACUAAACAGGCAUUGACGCUGAGGCACGAAAGCGUGGGGAUCAAACA